GGAUUCCUUCUUCCCAAAAAUCAGCUCAGCCUGCAUGCCUUUGCGUCCACCAUUAGUCCUAUCCCCUCUUCCUACCGAGCGGCUUUGAAAGAUCCCAACUGGCACCGUGCUAUGCUAGAGGAGUUUAACGCACUUUUGCAGAAUAACACUUGGGAUUUGGUUUCUCGUCCUGCAGGUUCUAACGUGGUUACAGGGAAGUGGAUAUACCAGCACAAAUUUCAUCCGGACGGCUCCCUGGCUCGCUAUAAAGCUCGUUGGGUGCUCCGAGGGUUCACGCAGCAAGCCGGCGUCGACUACGGUGAGACUUUCAGUCCCGUGGUCAAACCGGCGACGAUCCGCACCGUGCUCAGCAUCGCUGCCGGACGUUCUUGGGCGAUCCACCAGCUCGACGUCAAGAACGCCUUCUUGCACGGGCACCUCGCCGAGACGGUCUACGCGCAACAACCCUCCGGCUUCAUCGACACCGCCAACCCCACCAGUGUGUGCCGCUUGAACCGCUCGUUGUACAGGCUGAAACAAGUGCCGCGGGCGUGGUUCUCCCGGUUCACCACGUACCUGCUCCAACUCGGCUUUGUGGCAUCUCGGUCCGACUCUUCUCUGUUUAUCCUCCGUCGUGGCACACAACUAGCUUACCUACUGUUGUAUGUCGAUGACAUUAUCCUCACCGCGAGCGCCACUUCUCUCCUCCAGUCCAUCAUCUCCUCGCUCCACCAGGAAUUCACCAUGUCCGACCUCGGGCCGCUGCAUCAUUUUCUUGGCAUUAAUGUCACCUCCACCACCGCUGGCCUCUUUUUGUCCCAAGAACAGUAUGCCUUGGAGAUACUUGAUCGGGCAGGGAUGUUAAACUGCAAACCCAUAUCCACUCCAGUGGACACGCAUGCAAAACUUCCAGCUGAUGCUGGCCCAUUAUUCCACGAUCCUUCGUUGUACAGAAGUCUCGCCGGUGCUCUCCAGUAUAUCACUCUCACACGCCCUGACCUCUCCUAUGGAGUUCAGCAGUGUUGCCUCUUCAUGCACGCUCCCCGUGACUCGCACUUUCAGCUGCUCAAACGCAUCCUGCGCUACCUUCGUGGCACCACACAUCUCGGGCUGCAGUUCCACCGGUCUGCUUCCACAGAGCUCGUCGCGUACUCCGACGCCGACUGGGCAGGGUGCCCUGACACCCGCCGCUCCACUUCGGGGUAUUGCGUGUUCCUCGGUGGCAACCUUGUGUCGUGGUCCUCGAAGCGGCAACACACCAUCUCCCGUUCUAGCGCGGAGGCCGAGUACCGCGCCGUCACGCACGCCGUCGCCGAG
rnacentral:rRNA from 1 species